AAAGUCCACAUUUACUUUUUUUCAGUGUACAAUAUUCUACAAUAAAUGUAUAAAAGGUAAGUUAUCAACUGUGAUGAUCUAUUAGUACAUCUUAUUUCUAAACCACGCCCAGUCAAGCAACGUCCUUGUAUCAUUAAAACAAUACGGAAUAUUUAAGGAUGAAACUUGUGUUUGCUGAUGUGUAUAGAUGACUGCACAUUCCAAACUUCAGAACCUCUCCUCUCCCCUCUUCUCCUCUCCUCUCCUCUCCUGCAGUGGAAGUGGAGGUCUUGUCUGUUUGGUAGAAUACACCCACUCCUCCAGACUCACCAUGACCCAGCUGAUGGUGGAGAGCCCGCUGAAGGCUGCUGACCUGCUGUAGUUUGGAGCCGAAGAGAGCCGUGAGGGCCUUCCUGGCACGUCUGCUGCUACAUGUAGACAACUGCCCGGGCAUGCUGGCGUUCUCCCAGCUCCACAAAUACUUCACCCUGGAGAAAGAGGCCUGCAGGCUGCUGUUAGGCAGGUGGAGGGAACGCCUCCACGACUGUUGUGGGAAACAACAUCUAUGUAGCAGGUGGUCAUUCUGCGUCAAGGGCAGCUGCAGCUACAACAAGAUCGAGAGUUACACAUUGGACCAGUGAAGUAUCCAAACCACUUGCCCCCAUAAAGAGGAUGUGCCUGGUGUCUUUGAAAAGCAGCCUGUACCUGGUGGGGGGGCCAGACCACCCUCCUUGAACACUUCGACCCAGACACAGAAGAAUGGAUCCCCCUUGGCAGAAUGAAGGAGAGGAGGAUAGAGUGCAGGGCAGUGGCCAUGCUGGGCCGUGAGAACAUCACUGGGGGCCGUUCGCGCUCCAAAAGGACCUGCAGAGCGUGGAUAAAUAUGACCCUCACACAGAUACAUGAGAACUAGUGGGAGAUAAUGCUUACAUGGCUGUAUCUGCGUUUAUCAUGGCGCCAAUUGUACAAAGACUGUAGCAAGCCAAAGAUACAGCUUUUCUUGGAUUGUAGUGGGAAGAGUGAACUGGUUAGUUUAUCCAUUUAGGCAGUUGUGUACAAGCUGGUGGGAGUUUUUUGGAAAUAUGUGGUUCUCCAAGGGUGGGUUAUCCAACCGGCUGUGAGAACUGGAAAACAAACUGGAAAAGGAGUGUUGAAUGCUUAUGUACAUUACCUU